rnacentral:hammerhead_ribozyme from 1 species
AUUCAGUUGACGCGUCCCAAAUAGGACGAAAUGCGCAUCCUGGAU